UACGGAGGGUGCAAGCGUUGUUCGGAUUUACUGGGCGUAAAGCGCGUGUAGGCGGCCCUGCAAGUCGGAUGUGAAAUCCCACGGCUCAACCGUGGAAGUGCAUUCGAAACUGCAGGGCUAGAGUCCUGGAGAGGAAGGUGGAAUGCUUGGUGUAGAGGUGAAAUUCGUAGAUAUCAAGCGGAACACCGGUGGCGAAGGCGGCCUUCUGGACAGUGGCUGACGCUGAGACGCGAAAGCGUGGGGAGCGAACAGG
rnacentral:rRNA from 1 species